rnacentral:misc_RNA from 1 species
AAAGUCGUAACAAGGUCUCCGUAGGUGAACCUGCGGAGGGAUCAUUCACAUGAUUACCUUUCAACAAACUGUGAACUGUAUAUUUUACUAUUCGUGUAUGUAAAAAUUUCUAACUUGUUAGUCUUUUUUAUAUUACACUGUCAUUCGAUGAACAUUAGAUAGCUGGCUUGUAUUAAAUUUAUUUAAUAUCUUUCUCAGCUGAUUGUAUGUAUUGACUAAACAUCUUACAUCAAUCACCAUAAACAUAGAAACAACUCUAUGCCCUGGAUAUCUUGGUUCUC